AACAAGCUCCCAAACGUCAUUAUCGCUCAUAGACUUCAUCUCAUCAUUCAUGGCAUCAAUCCACUUUUGAGAGUUAGAACCCUUAAUGACUUGACGGUAGUUGAUUGGAUCAUCUUCCUCAAGUCCAAUAUCAAUUUCUAUGUUUGAGUAAAGAUAAUGUGAGCCUGAAUAAAACCUAAGCAUUAUCUCUAACAUGAAGGCAGAAAAGUUCAACAACAAGUAAACACAUAAUCAC
rnacentral:lncRNA from 1 species